CAAAAACUAACAAUUUGGCUAUAAAAAUAAGUUUUAGACUUGCGGAAGAUUAAGCCUUCUGAAUUAAGAAAGCCAAAAUGAAAGCAUUUUCGUAUAUUUUCAUGUUCAUGGUAGUCCAUGAACUGAUGCUGAUGGAUACAGAUAAGGCUGCUUCUUCUGUGGAGGCUGCAAGGUUGCAAACUGUUUUUCUAUGGGAAUGGAAAGAAGUUUUUCCGGGUGAUCCGCCGCGCAAGUUUGCUGUGACAGGUAAGAGAAGAAGGUUGGUGUCCUCUCGGCCCUUUGAACCACCGCCACCACCGCCUAUUACUGGUCCUCCUACUCAUCCUUGAAUUCUGCAGCCAACACCUUCAUGCCGCAGCACAACCCUAUUACAUUCCUUCAGCUCCACCUCCACCUCCCUCAAUACGAUCAUAUUGGCAAAGCAUCGCCAAGUCUACAACUUAAUAUUAGUGUGCUCAAUAAUCAAACCUCCUCUUCUUCAUCUCCGAGAUCAUGUGAUGAAUACAAUAAUAUUGACAACAUAUUAAAAAAUAAAUUAAAUUUAGAAAAUCUUAAUGAUGAGUUUGAUUAGGUAGCCGAUUUUAUGGUUGUUUGUUCUUCC
rnacentral:lncRNA from 1 species